rnacentral:tRNA from 1 species
UCCUCGGUAGUAUAGUGGUCAGUAUCCCCGCCUGUCACGCGGAGACCGGGGUUCGAUUCCCCGCGGGGAG